rnacentral:rRNA from 1 species
GAGUUUGAUCCUGGUUCAGGAUGAACGCUAGCGGGAGGCCUAACACAUGCAAGCCGAGCGGUAUUUAUUCUUCGGAAUAGAGAGAGCGGCGUACGGGUGCGUAACACGUGUGCAACCUACCUUUAUCAGGGGAAUAGCCUUUCGAAAGGAAGAUUAAUACUCCAUAAUAUAUGAACAGGCAUCUGAUUAUAUUGAAAACUCCGGUGGAUAGAGAUGGGCACGCGCAAGAUUAGAUAGUUGGUGAGGUAACGGCUCACCAAGUCUGUGAUCUUUAGGGGUCCCGAGAGGGAGAUCCCCCACACUGGUACUGAGACACGGACCAGACUCCUACGGGAGGCAGCAGUGAGGAAUAUUGGACAAUGGGUGAAAGCCUGAUCCAGCCAUCCCGCGUGAAGGAUGACGGUCCUAUGGAUUGUAAACUUCUUUUGUAUAGGGAUAAACCAUUCUACGUGUAGAAUGCUGAAGGUACUAUACGAAUAAGCACCGGCUAACUCCGUGCCAGCAGCCGCGGUAAUAC